rnacentral:rRNA from 1 species
GAUGAACGCUAGCGGCAGGCUUAAUACAUGCAAGUCGAACGGUUAGUGUAGUAGCAAUAUUAUACGAGAGUGACGUACGGGUGCGUAACACGUAUGCAACCUACCUUGUACAGGAGGAUAGCUCGGGGAAACUCGAAUUAACCCUCCAUGAGAUCACAGUGUGGCAUCACAUAGUGAUUAAAACUCAGGUGGUACAAGAUGGGCAUGCGUCUGAUUAGAGUUGGCGGGGUAACGGCCCACCAAGACGAUGAUCAGUAGGGGACCUGAGAGGGUGAUCCCCCACACUGGCACUGAGAUACGGGCCAGACUCCUACGGGAGGCAGCAGUAGGGAAUAUUGGUCAAUGGAUGGAAGUCUGAACCAGCCAUGCCGCGUGCGAGGAAGAAGGCGUUAUGCGUUGUAAACUGUCUUUUGCCGAGGGGAAUAAAAAAUCUGUGCGCAGAUAAUUG